CUCGGUCAGAAAGCGCGUGCUCGCUGACAGGUCCGGUUAAAGAGUCAAGUUAAAGCCUUCUGUCCAAUCCAGUGAAUGGGUGCACAGAGAAGAACGCAGGAGCGCCGUCAGGAUUCUGCAGGUCGGUGUUGGGACUCGAGCUUUGAUGUGUGCGGGACUUUGUUCUCUCAUUGAUGUGGAUUCCGAUUAAAAGGUUACUGCAGUAACGCGCGAGCGCCAAUCCGCACACGGAAAUAAGUGCUGGGAUACAGCAGACUGAACAUUCCAGAGAUCACAUCAGGAAUAAUGCUGUAGUCGAAAUUGUGGUCCAUCACUGACUCUACAAGAAAAAAGGAGGAAGAAGCAGCAGCAUGGCGGCUUUUAAACUGGAUAAUGUUGAGGAUUUAUAUGAAAUCAGGGAGGUACUGGGAAGUGGUCAUUUCGGGCAGGUGCGUGAGGUGUGUGAACGAGCUACAGGUAUCCUGUGGGCAGGGAAGUUUCUGAAGCUCCAGCGUAGUGCGGGGAGCCGCCUGGGCCUGGAGAGGGUGAGCGUGGAGAAAGAGGUGGAAAUCCUGCAGAGCCUCCAACACCAGAACAUCAUGACCCUCAAGGAUGUGUUCGAAAGCAAGGUGGAGGUGGUCCUCAUCAUAGAGCUUAUUCGUGGUGGUGAGCUGUUUGACUUCAUCGCUGAGAAGGAGUUUCUGACUGAGACAGACGCAAUUGAGUUCCUCAAGCAGAUUCUCGAGGGCGUGAACUACAUGCACAGCAAACACAUUGGCCACUUUGACUUAAAGCCCGAGAACAUCAUGUUGUCAGAUAAGCAGGUCCCCAGUCCUAAUAUUAAGAUCAUUGAUUUUGGCAUGGCCCACUGCUUUCAACAAGGAGAGGAGUAUAAGAGCAUGGGCGGCACGCCUCAGUAUAUCGCACCUGAGAUCAUCAAGUAUGAACCUCUGAGCACAGCAGCUGAUAUGUGGAGCAUUGGUGUCAUCACCUAUAUCCUGCUGAGUGGUCUUUCUCCGUUCCAAGGCGAGACAAAUGAAGAGACACUGGAGAACAUUGUGGCAUUGACGUACAAGUUUGACGCACAAUACUUCAGCCAAACCAGCUCUAUGGCCAAAGACUUUAUCCAGAAGCUACUCGUCAAAGAGCAAAGUGAGAGGAUGACUGCUGAGGAAUGUCUGAUUCACCCCUGGAUUAAACCUCUUACUAGGACACAGAUGGCGAAGAGAAAUCGCUCUUCCAUUAACAUGAAGAACUUUAAGAUGUUUAACGCUAAGAGAAAGUGGAAGAUGUCCUAUAACAUGGUGUCAGCCUGCAAUCGCCUAUGCAAGCUCAAGUUGGUGUGUAAGACCAGUACCUUGGAAAAACAAGACCUGAGAGAUUGUGAAAGCGACCAGGAAGACACUAAUACAAAAACCGCCUCUCUCUUGCGUCGCCGACUCAGCAGCAGUUCCUAGAGGAGAGAUGAGGUGUGACAGUGAAAUCAUCUGCAGAGCAUGAAGGAAAGCAGACGUAUGGUUUCUUGGUAAAGACCUAUAACUGGGAAACAUAAAGCUUUGCAGACUAAAGGAAUUUUGCUACUCACCUUGAACCCACAACGUUUCCUGCUGCACCAGGAGAUGAUAGUUUGGAAAACAAGGAGCGAAGCAAACAGCAAUCACUGCUGCUGAGCCAUCGAGGAAAAUAAAGGUAAGCUCCUUUGCUGCAUGUUUGCAGCAGAAACCAAAAAUGGUUCAGCUGUUCUCUAAGUGGUUUUACUAUGUUGGAAUGAAAUUGGCAGUGUGCAAGAGCCAAAUGCAAGCUCUGUUACCAACAAGAUGACUGUACUGAAGUGCAGAACUUGGUACAGCUGCUUUGCAUAUAGAGAUGGACCUUGAUAUACUAUCAGUAGCAGUAGGUUCACCACUGUUUUGAUCACGAUGGUGAAAGGUGAUGUGUAACAGAUUGGUCCAAAAUCCAAAAUAUGUACUUAUGUUGAGAUCUGGCUCUCUAAAGGGACAAAUAGCCACCAGACUUGCCAUCCGUCUGUGAAUGCUCUUCCAGAUGAGGCCUGUGUCCACACGUUCUCAAACACCAUAUUGUCCAGCUGUUUGUGUGCUUUGUGGAACGUCAUCGCAAGCCCCUGCUGUCUAAAGACAGGUGAGUAGCCAUUGAAAAAAGCCACUGAAUGCUCCAUUAAGACCUGUUAUGAACCCUCUUUGUGACCUUGAUAUGCAGUCUCUGAUAGUUCCGAUGUAAAUAAGUAGAAUUUGUCAUUUUGUCAAUUUACAUUCGAUUUAUGUAAAAAUGGUUCUGUGACAAAGUGGAGGAUACUGUAGGGUCCAUAUGACAGGGUCAUAAUCAUGAGCUGACUGCAGUUUUUGCUUGACAAGGAAAUGGGCACAUGGGAACCUCCAGUAGUUCUGAAGGAAACCCUGCCGGUCAUCCACACAGUUGUAGAUCCACAGUACAUAACCUUACAUUUUCACUAUAUUUCAGUCAGUAACGUGAAGAAGAAGAAAUUUCUCAAAUCAACAUACAAAUGCAUAGUUUGCUCUAAAGUUUUGAGGUCUGAUGGUAUAUUUGUAACAAACAAAUCUAGGCUAUACUGUUUUAUAAAUUCUGCUGUAUAUUUAAAUAAUAUUGGCUGGCGUUGAGUGGUAUAUCAGAUAUAUUCCAUUCAGCUAGCAUGAUAUUGAACAAGUUGAAGCUGAAUGGAAUAUAUGUGAUAGACUACGAAAAAAAGCCAGGCAAUAUUAUUAUUAUUAUUAUUAUUAUUAUUAUUAUUAUAAUACAUACACACUCUUUUCAUAUCAGCAUUCUCAAAGGCCAGCGCUAGCUUACUUACGACUUGGUGAUGUUAGCACAGCAGUCCAGUUACCUUCUAGGCAGUGUAGCAUUCAGCAGUAGCAUUAGCAAAGGCCAACACAAGCUUACAUGCGAUUCGGUGCUGUUAAUGCGGCAGUCCAGUUACCUUCUAGCUGGUGUAAUGCUAGCGAAGGCCAAUGCUAGAGCAGUCAAGCCAAAUAUUAUAAUUAGCUAUUAUUAUUUUCCUUGUGUAAUUUACUUAGUUACUUUUAAAAUCAACAUUGACAGCUACACACAACGGAGCAACCUGGCAGCCAAAAUUCUCUCAAAAUUUUCCGCUUUUAACGAAACAAACCUGGCGGCCAUGUUUGUUUACAAACUGUCACAGUCACUCGCUAGCGUGGAAGUUUUACAUUUCUGCCGUGUCUCUUUUCCAGUUUUUCGAUGUCCAUUGGUAUGUUUUUCUCUUUUAAAUGUAAGAAUAUAUAAUGAAGUUUUGGUAGCCUUUCUGGUGUUCAAUGCGUCUUUGGUUUCAGUUUUUAGUCCAUUUAUUUAGUGCUUAAUUAUAGCAUAGCUAAUCCUAGCAUCCUAACGUCUUCUCUCUCUCCCGGCCAACAAAGAAAUGAUUGUGCGCGUGUGCAGCAGAAAAGUUUUGUCAUUGGAUCUUCGCAUAAGUUCUGACGUGUGACGCCGUGUUGUCUUGACAAUGUGCAAUAUUGUAACAAUAUUGCAUACUCAUUCUCCAUUGCGGAGAGUGGCGUAAUACAUGGAGGAUGAGCGAUAUGAUAACAAUAUUGCAUGCCAUUGAUAAACUAUACUAGUUUACUAGAAGGGAAUAGAAUGCAUGUUUUUAUUCAUUGGAAAAAGUGGCCCGUAUGUAUAAUAAUUGAUUAAUAUUUAAUUUUCUAUACUGCACAGCACAGCAUUAAAUAUAGAAUUAGAAUUCUCUGUAAAGGUGCCACUUUCACACCCAUACUUGGUGUUAAGGUUCACCUUACUCAUUAGCGAAUUAUGAAACACUAACAUUUUUCAUCACAAAAUAUAAUACUACAUACAAAAAGUUGUGUAAAACAUUUUUUCCCAGCUAUGAAACAACCAUGUCAUACUGAAAUGUUAUAAAGUUUCAGGUCAGACACAGUGGCUAAGACCCAAAGCUAUGAAAUGUAGAUUUUAUGGAUGAUCAUGGGUGAAUUUAAACACUUACUAAAGCUAAGCUUAAAAGUUUAUUGUUUAAUAAUUGCAUAUGCCAUUAUACCAUUAGAUUAUUAUUUGUUUGUAUUACAAGGCAAAAUUUCAUAGUAAAAAAAAUAGUCUUCCAUUUUGAAAAGCAACCACCUUUAUAUAUUAUUUUCAUUAUUUUACAUUAUAUUCUGGAUAUAUAGUUAAAAUAUAAAAUAUAUGGUUAUUUUUUUCAUGGUUGUUAAGAAUAUUAUUUUUCUAAUAUGCAUUUAGUGCUGGUGGUGUAGUGGUUAGCACUGUCACCUCACAGCAAGAAGGUUCUGGGUUCGAGCCCAGUGGCUGACGGGGACCUUUCUGUGUGGAGUUUGCAUGUUCUCCCUGUUCUGGUUUCCCCCACAGUCCAAAGACAUGCAGGUUAGGUUAACUGGUGACUCUAAAUUAAGUGUGAAUGGUUGUUUGUCUGUAUGUGUCAGCCCUGUGAUGAUCUGGCGACUUGUCCAGGGUGUACCCCGCUUCUUGCCCAUAGUCAGCUGGGAUAGGCUCCAGCUUGCCCGUGAUCCUGUACAGGAUAAGCAGCUAUGGAUAAUGGAUGGAUGGAGUAUUGGACUGUGCUGUAUUGUUUUUAUACGCUUAUUUUGUAUUUUUAUUCUUAUCUUUAUUAUCCUUUUUAGGAUACAAUUGUGUGUAUAUUCUUUUUUUUUUUACUGUAAAAUAUUGUCCUUAAUG